GAUGAACGCUAGCGGCAGGCUUAAUACAUGCAAGUCGAGGGGCAGCGCAGUGUAGCAAUACAUGGGCGGCGACCGGCAAACGGGUGCGGAACACGUACACAACCUUCCUAUAAGUGGGGGAUAGCCCAGAGAAAUUUGGAUUAAUACCCCGUAAGAUAACGAUGUGGCAUCACAAUGUUAUUAAAGCUACGGCGCUUAUUGAUGGGUGUGCGGCUGAUUAGAUAGUUGGCGGGGUAAAGGCCCACCAAGUCUACGAUCAGUAGCUGAUGUGAGAGCAUGAUCAGCCACACGGGCACUGAGACACGGGCCCGACUCCUACGGGAGGCAGCAGUAAGGAAUAUUGGUCAAUGGACGCAAGUCUGAACCAGCCAUGCCGCGUGAAGGAUUAAGGUCCUCUGGAUUGUAAACUUCUUUUAUAUGGGACGAAAAAAGGACAUUCUUGUCCGUCUGACGGUACCAUAUGAAUAAGCACCGGCUAA
rnacentral:rRNA from 1 species